GAGAGUUCAAGAGGGCGUGAAACCGCUUGGAAGCAAACAGAUGGACCUGACGGAGAGUCAUCGGGAUUCAGCCUACUACUGUACCCCAGCCUGCUGUUCGAUCUUAUGACGGACUGGUGGGUCCUGGUGUGCUCAGUGGGUGCAUUUCCUGGUGAUGCGCAUCAGAGCUCGUGACGGUGCUGGAUCUUAAGGCGGAUGUUUGCCGGCCAACCCUGUUGGUGUCCCAACACUGCCUGAAACCGAGUCGCUGCUACGGGGCUUUUGCAGGUGUCCGUUCCACUCUAAGAGGCUGUGUUGCCUGCCCAUACUGCACUGUGGGGCCAUGCUUGCAUGACUUCGCGACCCUUGGGUGAGUUUCCAGUCCAUGUAGAGCAGACACUUUUCUCUGGUGUUUUAGUCAGUCACCCAUCUGACCCGUCUUGAAACACGGACCAAGGAGUCUAACAUGUGCGCGAGUCACUGGGUCGCAAAACCCAAAGGCGUAAUGAAAGUAAAGUCCAGUUCGGCUGGACGACAUGGGACCCCUCCGUUGUCGGGGGGAGCACCAUGGUCCCGUCCAAACUGCAUUGCCAGUUGGGCGGAGAUAGAGCGUACACGUUGGGACCCGAAAGAUGGUGAACUAUGCCUGAGCAGGAUGAAGCC
rnacentral:rRNA from 1 species